rnacentral:rRNA from 1 species
UACGUAGAAGACUGAGUGUUAUUCAUCUUUAAUAGGUUUAAAGGGGUACCUAAGACGGUAUAAUUAGUCUAAAAUAAGAUACGGUUAUACUAAGAGUUAUAUAUGAGGAGGUGAGUAUUUUAUAGGAGUAGAGUUGAAAUUCUGUCAUCCCAUAAACGACUGGUAACGGCGAAAGCAACCUUUUAUCUAAAUAACUGACGUUGAGGGGACGAAGGCUCGGGGUAACGAACAGG